rnacentral:tRNA from 1 species
GCCUGGGUGGCUGAGUUGGUUAAAAGCCAGACUUUGGCUCUGGUCACGAUCUCAUAGUUCGUGGGUUCGAGCCCUGCAUCAGGCU